rnacentral:rRNA from 1 species
GAGUUGUUUGGGAAUGCUGCUCAAAAUGGGAGGUAAACCCCUUCCUAAAGCUAAAUACCGGCCAGAGACCGAUAGCGCACAAGUAGAGUGAUCGAAAGAUGAAAAGCACUUUGAAAAGAGAGUUAAAAAGCACGUGAAAUUGUUGAAAGGGAAGNGCUUGCGACCAGACUCGCGCCCGUCGGAUCAGCCGUCGCUCGUCGGCGGCGCACUCCGGCGGGCUCGGGCCAGCAUCAGUUCGCCUCGGGGGGAGAAAGGCGGCGGGAAUGUGGCUCUACGGAGUGUUAUAGCCCGCCGCGUAAUACCCCCGGGCGGACUGAGGACCGCGCGUAUGCAAGGAUGCUGGCGUAAUGGUCGUCAGCNACCCGUCUUGAAACACGGA